GACGAACGCUGGCGGCGUGCUUAACACAUGCAAGUCGAACGAUGAAGCCUAGCUUGCUAGGUGGAUUAGUGGCGAACGGGUGAGUAAUACGUGAGUAACCUACCUUUAACUCUGGGAUAAGCCCGGGAAACUGGGUCUAAUACCGGAUACGACCAAUCUCCGCAUGGGGUGUUGGUGGAAAGCGUUAUGUAGUGGUUAUAGAUGGGCUCACGGCCUAUCAGCUUGUUGGUGAGGUAACGGCUCACCAAGGCGACGACGGGUAGCCGGCCUGAGAGGGUGACCGGCCACACUGGGACUGAGACACGGACCAGACUCCUACGGGAGGCAGCAGUGGGGAAUAUUGCACAAUGGGCGCAAGCCUGAUGCAGCGACGCCGCGUGAGGGAUGACGGCCUUCGGGUUGUAAACCUCUGUUAGCAGGGAAGAAGAGAGAUUGACGGUACCUGCAGAGAAAGCGCCGGCUAACUACGUG
rnacentral:rRNA from 1 species